UUAAACCUGGGGCGGCAGGUAGCCAGCCUAGUGGUUAAGAGCAAUAGGAUCAGUAACUGAUUCAACUAGGUGAAAAAUCUGUCGCUCUGCCCUUGAGCAAACCCUAAUUGGUCCUGUAAGGCAUUCUGGAUAAGAGCAUCUGCUAAAUGAUUUACAUUUGGAAAUGUAAUCAUUAUUUCAAACAGUUUCUACUCACGUUUCUGUUGGAGAGAUUUAAGGACACUGCAUUACUGGCCUUAGGCUCUGCAUGGUCAAUCUGACAUUGCAGUGGCUGUACAGAAGUCGAAGAGCUCAUACGUCUUGUGCUUAGGAGCGCUGUCCUAAACAUCCAAUAAUUUCGUCUGCACCGCACCACUCGUAGUGAUUCAGGGCUAAUCUUGAUAGCCAUCCAGCUAAUUACAAACAACUAGCUGAAAGACAAGACCUUACCUCAUCUGAGAUGUGGCGUCAUUUUCCUAGUGCUUGACGUAAGAGCUCACCCAAGAGCGCAUGACGUAGGACUGCAUCGUUUUCCCACAAGGAUCCCAUCGCAAAUCUAACCAUUGCUCCCCAGACAAAUUAGCCUACAUUUAGGCUGUUUAUGUGUAUUUCACAUGUUGAGGUAGAAAUCGGAGUAUAAUGCUUGUACGGAUGUCAACUCCAAUACAUGUUCAUGUCAUUAAUCAACUGUAUUACAGGUUUUUUUUUAACUACAGUUAACUACCAACACCUAUUUCUGUAUGCUAGCUAUGCUACCAGCUUAUAUGAAUGGGAGUUAGCAUUUAGUAGUCACUUAAAUCUGGAAAAACUUCUAAAUGUUACGCAUCAAAAACAGCCAAAUAUAUCCAAAUCAUUGUGGGCCUGUUACAAUGACGGAUUUGACAAAUAUCCACUGUUAACGUGGAUUUAACGUUUAUCGAUUUCUUUAUCGCAUCCCCAUUGCCUUCCCGAUCUCUUUCCAGUAGUUCAAACAAAUUGUUGUCUUUGAAAUCCCUAAACAUCAUCAUAAAGAUGUUUUUUUUCUGGUAGCCUUUCCUCAAAAUUAUCAAUUUAAGGUAGUGAGUUUCUGUUUAUACGGGAGUUUAUUUGUUUAUAAAGCAUGUAUCACCAUUACGUCCCCGAUCUCUUUCCAGGAGUUCAAACUAAUUUCGGUGUCUUUGAAAUGCCUACGCAAGGAUGUAAGCCACCCGCGUCUACCUUCAACCAAUCAUGUCAAUACAGAGCUAUAUGGAGCCCUCAGCAUUGUUACAAAAUGUGGAAGGCGCACAGCAAUGCUUGAUUUGGCCACAGCAAGCCUCUGGAGUCUUCGAUUGCAUCACACCCUCUAUAUGGAGCCUCUGUUCUACAUUUCCAGAUCAAGCAUAAAUGGGCUUUUAAUCUGCAGCCCUCUGCUUCAUCCGGUCCAUUCUCAUUCCCCUCCUGAAUCCUCAUUCUCACAUCCAUUCAAUUUCUUCAGUAAAUAUUCUAAACCCAUUUAAAUGGCUGGUCCUUAAAGUUGUGAAUUGCAUCUUUGAAGGGAAAGCUGGGGUGAAGUAAAAUGCUAAUGGUCUUGUGAGUGACUUUGGACUCUAUAUGGAUCCGUGUGUUGUUGCUUUAGGAGAGUAUAAGCCUGUAACACACACAUAAAGUAUAUGCCAAUAUGGAUGAUAACAUGCAUGUAAAUACAGUGGGGAGAACAAGUAUUUGAUACACUGACGAUUUUGCAGGUUUU